rnacentral:misc_RNA from 1 species
GUUCAUGGAUCAUAUCAUAUCUGUAAAUUAGUGUGCAUAACAAGUAGACUCAAAUGUAUAAUUUAAAGAAUCAUACAUUACAGUAAAGUUUAAAAGAUUGAAAAAGUCUAUUUAGGAGAUAAUAUCAGUUGGUUGAUCAAAAAGCUUGUUAGAGUUUCCUUGUUCCACUUUAAUCUGUCCUCCAUCUAUCAGUGUAGAACUUGAAUUGCCACCCUUCAAACUUGUUGACUCUGCGAAUGUCGAUUCUACUUCUCUUAGGUGCUCUUCUGUUUUCAUAUCGUCCGUGCCUUUUCCUUCAGGUUCAACAUGUUCCCUCCUCACUCUGCUAGGAUUGGGCUUACGUUCUUCGCCAUUUGUGUCAGAAUCAGCAUCCCAUCUUGAAUCUGCAUCCUCUAGAUCUUCAUCAGCCUCAGGCAAUUCAGUAUCCGGUGGUCGCUCCUGGAACUGCACACUUGGGGCAUGCUGAAGCUUUGAAAGAUUAUCAAGCAGCUUUGAUCUUAUAUCUUCUAAAAUCUGACGAGAAUUUUUGUUCUCCAUGUUACUUGGAGCGACAUGCAAGGUAUAAUCUGGACCAAAGUAUUCAUAAUAUUCAUGUUGCGGCAUCUUAUCUUCAAGCUCUAUUCCUAAUGCAACUCCUGUUUCGUAACACCAGCAACGAGCAACAUUACGUAUUGUGUAGCCGCCUCCACCAAGCAACAACAAUGGCACAUUGAAAGACCUCAUGUACUUGACACAUUCAGCAUGACCUUUAAUAGAGAGAUUAAAGCAGCCUAGCCGAUCGCCAGACAAGGAAUCUGCACCACAUUGCAAAACCACAGCACCAGGCUUAAAAACUUCCAUCACUUUGCCCAUAAUAGGCUUAAAGAGGGACUGAUAGCUCUCAUCAUCAAUUCCAUCAUCUAGUGGAACAUUUAGAGAGUAGUAUUUUCCACUUCCAUAACCAAUAUCACGUACAUCCCCUGUACCAGGAAAGUAAUCUCCAAAUUUAUGAAAGGAAACUGUCAUGACCCUAUCUGUAGUAUAGAAGGCCUCUUCCACGCCAUCACCAUGAUGGAUAUCAAUAUCCACAUACAAUACUCUCUCAUGGACUUUGAGUAGCUCCAGAAUAGCCAACACGAUAUCGUUCACAUAGCAGAAACCAGAUGCUUCACAUUUCUUGGCAUGAUGCAAUCCACCAGCCCAAUUUACAGCGAUAUCACAGUGUCCAUGGUUCAACUUAACUGCCCCACCAACAGAACCUCCAGCGUAGGUUUGGCAGAAGGAAUAAAGACCAUCAAAAACUGGACAGUCCUCCCCGACAUUGAACCUCUUCAGCUGCCUCAGCUGAUCUUGCUGUGUUUCUGGUGUUACGCUUCUCAAGAAAGCAAUAUAAUCAUCAGCAUGAAACCUACAGAGAUCCUUAUCUCUAGCAGGAUUUGGCUUCAGAACAUGCAUGUGUUGUAAUAGACCAUAGUGGGCAAGAAGAGCAUGUGUCAUCCGCAUUCUAUGUGGCUUCAUUGGAUGGCCUUGUCCAUAAUAGUAAUUACCAACUUCAGGAUCAUAGAAAUAACUUACUUUUCUCUUCUUUCCAUCUGCACCAGAUGCUAAGGAGUUUCCUCCAACAUCCAUUUCCCAAGCUAUAAACCAGUAAGGAUAAACCUGAAAGUGAAAACCAGAAGAAGCGGCCACUACAGUAGAGAUCGCUAAAGG